rnacentral:rRNA from 1 species
AAUGAACGCUGGCGGCAUGCCUUACACAUGCAAGUCGAACGGCAGCAUGACCUAGCUUGCUAGGUUGAUGGCGAGUGGCGAACGGGUGAGUAAUGCAUCGGAACGUGCCUUUUAGUGGGGGAUAACGUAGCGAAAGUUACGCUAAUACCGCAUAUUCUCUGAGGAGGAAAGCAGGGGACCUUCGGGCCUUGCGCUAGAAGAGCGGCCGAUGUCGGAUUAGCUAGUUGGUGAGGUAAAGGCUCACCAAGGCAACGAUCCGUAGCGGGUCUGAGAGGAUGAUCAGCCACACUGGGACUGAGACACGGCCCAGACUCCUACGGGAGGCAGCAGUGGGGAAUUUUGGACAAUGGGCGCAAGCCUGAUCCAGCCAUGCCGCGUGAGUGAAGAAGGCCUUCGGGUUGUAAAGCUCUUUCGGCUGGGAAGAAAUCGAACCCUCUAAUACAGGGUGUGGAUGACGGUACCAGCAGAAGAAGCACCGGCUAACUACGUG